rnacentral:lncRNA from 1 species
GGCAGGAUCCAGAGUCAUAUUUGUGUCUAAAGUGUAGGAUAUAAUGAUGCCUUGAACCUAAUUGUCCUGCUUGACUACAUGCAUUUAUAUCCACACAUUUAAUGGAUAUAAUAGCUUAUUUACCAGUUUUUAAUGAGCUCAUUUCUACUCAGCUCCAGUCCUUGCAAGGGUGAUGUAUGGGGACAACAGAAUCAGUAUUUCUUCUACUGAACAAACACAGGUAGUGUAGAAAGGUGCUGAGCUUCUGUAGGUAGAAGUACAUUGAAGAUCCUCAUGAUCCAGAAGCAUGAAGAUAAGCUUGAAAGGCACAUUUAAAAGGCUGAUUGUCAAGUUAAGCUCUCAAAACAUCUCUCUCAUUUUUUUUUUGUAUCUGAGGAGUACCAUUUCUUCCAGGAAUGUCUCUGUUGCUUCAUUACUUCUACGUUUGCAUUUCUGGAUUACUCUGUGGAGAAACCAGGCCAUGGUGUGCUUCUUCAUUAAUGAGAUUCACAAGCAGGCUGCAUGCCAUGUCUGUGUUGUUAAGAAGAGAAAUGGGAAGUAUUCACAGAUUAACUGCAGGGAGGUCAAUAAACAGACAUCGUACCAGGAAACAAGUGGAGAACGUGAUAGUCACACCUGCUGCAUUGGAUCUGUCACACAGCACUUUGAAGAUUUGAACUGCACCAUAUUAUGGGAAUCGUUUGGAGUCAUAAAAGAAGGAGUCGGUGUUGCAAGAGGAGGUAUGAUAAUGAAGCCUAAAGUCAGAGACUUAAUGCCUCAGUUCUUUGCUGAAUCAAAGCCUAAGACUGUGAGUUCUUUGAAACAGACUCUCCUCAAUUAGAGGCCUGCUCAGAACAUAAUAGAGCUAUGACAUACCUGGGGCCUCUGAGUCCUCUGUAACAAAUGGUUACGUACAUAAGCUUGAAGACAGCACCAGCUGCAGGAAUGCUACAGGUCCCUGGGAUCUAUCUCCUUCUCUCACGGCUCUUAGGUUUUUUAUUAUCUUCAAAUCUCUAUACCUUACUGCUUGUUCCAUUCCCCAGGUCCUUAAAGCAUUCUUUAAGCUAUAAAUAAAGAAGAUAAAAUUACAGGGUACUUACA